ensembl:rRNA RNA5SP532 RNA, 5S ribosomal pseudogene 532
GUCUAGGCCACACCACCCUGAACGCGCCCGCUCGCCUCUGAUCUGUUGAAGCUAAGCAGAGUGGGGCCUGGUUAGUAUUUGGAUGGGAUUCCACCUGGUAAUACCCGGUACCAUAGGCU